UGAGGAACAUGACUUUCGGCGGGGGAUAGCCGGCCCAACGGCCGGGUAAUACCGCGUACGACCACUCGGGGACAUCCCCAGGUGGUGAAAGCAGCAAUGCGCCGAUGGAGUGCCUCGCGGCCUAUCAGCUAGUUGGUGAGGUAACGGCUCACCAAGGCGACGACGGGUAGCUGGUCUGAGAGGAUGGCCAGCCACAGUUGGGACUGAGACACGGUCCAGACCUCCGUACGGGGAGCA
rnacentral:rRNA from 1 species